CCUACGGGAGGCUGCAGUGGGGAAUAUUGCACAAUGGGGGAAACCCUGAUGCAGCGACGCCGCGUGAGUGAAGAAGUAUUUCGGUAUGUAAAGCUCUAUCAGCAGGGAAGAAGAAAGACGGUACCUGACUCAGAAGCCCCGGCUAACUACGUGCCAGCAGCCGCGGUAAUACGUAGGGGGCAAGCGUUAUCCGGAUUUAGUGGGGGUAAAGGGAGCGUAGACGGCUGUGCAAGUCUGAAGUGAAAGCCCAGGGCUCAACCCUGGGACUGCUUUGGAAACUGGGGAGCUAGAGUGAUGGAGAGGUAAGUGGAAUUCCUAGUGUAGCGGUGAAAUGCGUAGAUAUUAGGAGGAACACCAGUGGCGAAGGCGGCUUACUGGACAGUAACUGACGUUGAGGCUCGAAAGCGUGGGGAGCAAACAGGAUUAGAUACCCUUGUAGUC
rnacentral:rRNA from 1 species